rnacentral:rRNA from 1 species
AGGAUGAACGCUGGCGGCGUGCCUAAUACAUGCAAGUCGAGCGAACAGACGAGGAGCUUGCUCCUCUGACGUUAGCGGCGGACGGGUGAGUAACACGUGGAUAACCUACCUAUAAGACUGGGAUAACUUCGGGAAACCGGAGCUAAUACCGGAUAAUAUAUUGAACCGCAUGGUUCAAUAGUGAAAGACGGUUUUGCUGUCACUUAUAGAUGGAUCCGCGCCGCAUUAGCUAGUUGGUAAGGUAACGGCUUACCAAGGCAACGAUGCGUA